rnacentral:rRNA from 1 species
AGUUUGAUCCUGGCUCAGGACGAACGCUGGCGGCGUGCCUAAUACAUGCAAGUCGAACGAAGCUUUCUUUCACCGAAUGCUUGCAUUCACCGAAAGAAGCUUAGUGGCGAACGGGUGAGUAACACGUAGGCAACCUGCCCAAAAGAGGGGGAUAACACUUGGAAACAGGUGCUAAUACCGCAUAACCAUGAACACCGCAUGAUGUUCAUGUAAAAGACGGCUUUUGCUGUCACUUUUGGAUGGGCCUGCGGCGUAUUAACUUGUUGGUGGGGUAACGGCCUACCAAGGUGAUGAUACGUAGCCGAACUGAGAGGUUGAUCGGCCACAUUGGGACUGAGACACGGCCCAAACUCCUACGGGAGGCAGCAGUAGGGAAUCUUCCACAAUGGACGAAAGUCUGAUGGAGCAACGCCGCGUGAAUGAAGAAGGCCUUCGGGUCGUAAAAUUCUGUUGUCAGAGAAGAACGUGCGUGAGAGUAACUGUUCACAUAUUGACGGUAUCUGACCAGAAAGCCACGGCUAACUACGUGCCAGCAGCCGCGGUAAUACGUAGGUGGCGAGCGUUGUCCGGAUUUAUUGGGCGUAAAGGGAACGCAGGCGGUCUUUUAAGUCUGAUGUGAAAGCCUUCGGCUUAACCGAAGUAGUGCAUUGGAAACUGGAAGACUUGAGUGCAGAAGAGGAGAGUGGAACUCCAUGUGUAGCGGUGAAAUGCGUAGAUAUAUGGAAGAACACCAGUGGCGAAAGCGGCUCUCUGGUCUGUAACUGACGCUGAGGUUCGAAAGCGUGGGUAGCAAACAGGAUUAGAUACCCUGGUAGUCCACGCCGUAAACGAUGAGUGCUAAGUGUUGGAGGGUUUCCGCCCUUCAGUGCUGCAGCUAACGCAUUAGGCACUCCGCCUGGGGAGUACGGUCGCAAGACUGAAACUCAAAGGAAUUGACGGGGGCCCGCACAAGCGGUGGAGCAUGUGGUUUAAUUCGAAGCAACGCGAAGAACCUUACCAGGUCUUGACAUCUUCUGACAAUUCCAGAGAUGGAACGUUCCCUUCGGGGACAGAAUGACAGGUGGUGCAUGGUUGUCGUCAGCUCGUGUCGUGAGAUGUUGGGUUAAGUCCCGCAACGAGCGCAACCCUUAUUGUCAGUUGCCAUCAUUAAGUUGGGCACUCUGACGAGACUGCCGGUGACAAACCGGAGGAAGGUGGGGAUGACGUCAAAUCAUCAUGCCCCUUAUGACCUGGGCUACACACGUGCUACAAUGGACGGUACAACGAGUCGCUAACUCGCGAGGGCAAGCUAAUCUCUUAAAGCCGUUCUCAGUUCGGAUUGCAGGCUGCAACUCGCCUGCAUGAAGUCGGAAUCGCUAGUAAUCGCGAAUCAGCAUGUCGCGGUGAAUACGUUCCCGGGCCUUGCACACACCGCCCGUC